UUAUGGCCACAUCAUGUUGAAACACUAGUUUCCGUAUGAUCAGCGAAGUUAAGCAACGUUGAGCCUGGUCAGAACCUAGAUGGGUGAACGCUUGGGAAAACCAGGUGCAGUAAU